GUCGUGACUGCGUGCCUUUUGAAGAAUGAGCCUGCGAGUUUGCGGCAUGUUGCGAGGUUAACCCGUGUGGGGGAGCCGUAGCGAAAGCGAGUCCUAAGAGGGCGGUUGAGUAGCGUGUUCAAGACCCGAAGCGGAGUGAUCUAGCCAUGGGCAGGGUGAAGCGGAGGUAAGACUUCGUGGAGGCCCGAACCCACCAGGGUUGAAAACCUGGGGGAUGACCUGUGGUUAGGGGUGAAAGGCCAAUCAAACUCCGUGAUAGCUGGUUCUCCCCGAAAUGCAUUUAGGUGCAGCGUCGUGUGUUUCUUGCCGGAGGUAGAGCACUGGAUAGGCGAUGGGCCCUACCGGGUUACUGACCUUAGCCAAACUCCGAAUGCCGGUAAGUGAGAGCGCGGCAGUGAGACUGUGGGGGAUAAGCUCCAUGGUCGAGAGGGAAACAGCCCAGAGCAUCGACUAAGGCCCCUAAGCGUGUGCUAAGUGGGAAAGGAUGUGGAGUCGCAGAGACAACCAGGAGGUUGGCUUAGAAGCAGCCAUCCUUGAAAGAGUGCGUAAUAGCUCACUGGUCAAGUGAUUCCGCGCCGACAAUGUAGCGGGGCUCAAGCACACCGCCGAAGUCGUGUCACUCCAACAAUACUUUUAACGAGGGUUGGGGUGGGUAGGGGAGCGUCGUGUGCCGGGUGAAGCAGCCGUGGAAACGAGUUGUGGACGGUACGCGAGUGAGAAUGCAGGCAUGAGUAGCGAUACGCACGUGAGAAACGUGCGCGCCGAUUGAC
rnacentral:ncRNA from 1 species